GCCAGAGGCUGUGACCAUAAUUCUGCCAUUCACAAAGAAGAUUAUGCCAGACUGUAUCCUCCGACAGCACUAAUAAAAGCUUAGGAUUGUGGCUUUGGUAUGAACCACCCACGAAGAUCAUCCCGGCUAGCACCCUUCAAUGACAAUUCCUGGGGGUUAAGGUGAUGAUAUAUAAGUAGGAUGUGCAAAGCCAACUAACAAGUUAUUAGUAAGCAGACAUCUGUCCUGAUG